rnacentral:rRNA from 1 species
GUACGGGAAAUAUCCUACUGGUAUUUCUAGUGGCGGACGGGUGAGUAACGCGUAAGAACCUGCCCUUAGGAGGGGGACAACAGCUGGAAACGGUUGCUAAUACCCCCUAGGCUGAGGAGUAAAAGGAGGAAUCCGCCUAAGGAGGGUCUUGCGUCUGAUUAGCUAGUUGGUAAGGUAAUGGCUCACCAAGGCAACUAUCAGUACCUGGUUUGAGAGGAUGAUCAGCCACACUGGGACUGAGACAUGGCCCAGACUCUUACGGGAGGUAUGAGUGGGGAAUUUUCCGCAAUGGGCGAAAGCCUGACGGAUCAAUGCCGCGUGGAGGGUAAACGCUCACGGGGUCGUAAAGUUCCUUUUCUCAGCAGAAAGAUGACAUUGAGGGUAUUUUGAGGAAUAAACCAUCGGCGCUAAUCGGUU